rnacentral:rRNA from 1 species
AUACGUAGGGGGCGAGCGUUGUCCGGAAUGAUUGGGCGUAAAGGGCGUGUAGGCGGCCUGUUAAGUCUGAAGUGAAAGUCCUGUUUUCAAGAUGGGAAUUGCUUUGGAUACUGGCGGGCUUGAGUGCAGGAGAGGGUAUCGGAAUUCCCGGUGUAGCGGUGGAAUGCGUAGAGAUCGGGAGGAACACCAGUGGCGAAGGCGGGUAACUGGACUGCAACUGACGCUGAGGCGCGAAAGUGUGGGGAGCAAACAGGAUUAGAUACCCUGGUAGUCCACACUGUAAACGAUGAAUGCUAGGUGUAGGGGGUAUCGACCCCUUCUGUGCCGCAGUAAACACAAUAAGCAUUCCGCCUGGGGAGUACGGCCGCAAGGUUGAAACUCAAAGGAAUUGACGGGG